rnacentral:rRNA from 1 species
GACGAACGCUGGCGGCGUGCUUAACACAUGCAAGUCGAACGCUGAAGCUCAGCUUUUGUUGGGUGGAUGAGUGGCGAACGGGUGAGUGACACGUGAGUAACCUGCCCCCUUCUUUGGGAUAACGCCCGGAAACGGGUGCUAAUACUGGAUAUUCACUGGUCUUCGCAUGGGGGUUGGUGGAAAGGGUUUUUCUGGUGGGGGAUGGGCUCGCGGCCUAUCAGCUUGUUGGUGGGGUGAUGGCCUACCAAGGCUUUGACGGGUAGCCGGCCUGAGAGGGUGACCGGUCACAGUGGGACUGAGAUACGGCCCAGACUCCUACGGGAGGCAGCAGUGGGGAAUAUUGCACAAUGGGCGCAAGCCUGAUGCAGCGACGCCGCGUGAGGGAUGGAGGCCUUCGGGUUGUGAACCUCUUUCGCUCAUGGUCAAGCCGCAACAAUGGUUGUGGUGAGGGUAGUGGGUAAAGAAGCGCCGGCUAACUACGU